GAUGAACGCUGGCGGCGUGCCUAAUACAUGCAAGUCGAGCGAACAGACGAGGAGCUUGCUCCUCUGACGUUAGCGGCGGACGGGUGAGUAACACGUGGAUAACCUACCUAUAAGACUGGGAUAACUUCGGGAAACCGGAGCUAAUACCGGAUAAUAUAUUGAACCGCAUGGUUCAAUAGUGAAAGACGGUUUUGCUGUCACUUAUAGAUGGAUCCGCGCCGCAUUAGCUAGUUGGUAAGGUAACGGCUUACCAAGGCAACGAUGCGUAGCCGACCUGAGAGGGUGAUCGGCCACACUGGAAGUGAGAAACGGUCCAGACUACUAGGGGAGGCAGCAGGAGGGAAUCUUCCGCAAUGGGCGAACGGCUGACGGAGCAACGCCGCGUGAGUGAUGAAGGUCUUGGGAUCGUAAAACUCUGUUAUGAGGGAAGAAAAAAUGUGUAAGUAACUAUGCACGUCUUGACGGGACCUAAUCAGAAAGCCACGGAUAACUACG
rnacentral:rRNA from 1 species